rnacentral:tRNA from 1 species
GGGGAAGUGCUGGAAUUGGCAGACAGGCAUGACUUAGGAUCAUGUGCCGAAAGGCGUAGGGGUUCAAGUCCCCUCUUCCCUACAA